AACGAACGCUGGCGGCGUGCUUAAUACAUGCAAGUCGAACGUGAAGUCUUCAGCAAUGGAGAUGGAAAGUGGCGAACGGGUGAGUAACACGUAAGUAAUCUGCCUCUAAGACUGGGAUAACCUUGCCAACGCGGGGCUAAUACCGGAUGUGGUCCCGAUAAUGCAUAUUGUCGGGAUUAAAGGAGCGAUCCGCUUAGAGAUGAGCUUGCGGCCCAUUAGCUAGUUGGUGCGGGUAAUGGCCCACCAAGGCUGCGAUGGGUAGCCGGCCUGAGAGGGUGAUCGGCCACAUUGGGACUGAGAUACGGCCCAGACUCCUACGGGAGGCAGCAGUAGGGAAUUUUGCGCAAUGGGCGAAAGCCUGACGCAGCAACGCCGCGUGAGGGAUGAAGCUUCUCGGAGUGUAAACCUCUGUCAGUGGGGACGAACAAAUGACGGUACCCACAAAGGAAGCACCGGCUAACUCCGUGCCAGCAGCCGCGGUAAACAUACUCG
rnacentral:rRNA from 1 species